GACGUAGGGCGCGAGCGUUGUCCGGAUUUAUUGGGCGUAAAGAGCUCGUAGGCGGCUCGUUGCGUCGGCUGUGAAAACCCGCAGCUCAACUGUGGGCUUGCAGCCGAUACGGGCGGGCUGGAGUUCGGUAGGGGAGACUGGAAUUCCUGGUGUAGCGGUGAAAUGCGCAGAUAUCAGGAGGAACACCGGUGGCGAAGGCGGGUCGCUGGGCCGAUACUGACGCUGAGGAGCGAAAGCGUGGGGAGCGAACAGG
rnacentral:rRNA from 1 species